CAGCCGCCGCGGUAAUACAGAGGAUGCAAGCGUUAUCCGGGAUGAUUGGGCGUAAAGCGUCUGUAGGUGGCUUUUCAAGUCCGCUGUCAAAUCCCAGGGCUCAACCCUGGACAGGCGGUGGGAACUACCAAGCUGGAGUACGUUAGGGGCAGAGGGAAUUUCCGGUGGAGCGGUGAAAUGCGCUGAGAUCGGAAAGAACACCAACGGCGAAAGCACUCUGCUGGGCCGACACUGACACUGAGAGACGUAAGCUAGGGGGGCAAAUGGGAUUAGAUACCCCCGUAGUCCCUGUCUCUUAUAC
rnacentral:rRNA from 1 species